GAUGAACGCUAGCUACAGGCUUAACACAUGCAAGUCGAGGGGAAACGGCAUUAAGUGCUUGCACUUUUUGGACGUCGAUCGGCGCACGGGUGAGUAACGCGUAUCCAACCUUCCCAUGACUAAGGGAUAACCUGCCGAAAGGCAGACUAAUACCUUAUGGUCUUCACUGACGGCAUCAGAUGUGAAGUAAAGAUUUAUCGGUUAUGGAUGGGGAUGCGUCUGAUUAGCUUGUUGGCGGGGUAACGGCCCACCAAGGCAACGAUCAGUAGGGGUUCUGAGAGGAAGGUCCCCCACAUUGGAACUGAGACACGGUCCAAACUCCUACGGGAGGCAGCAGUGAGGAAUAUUGGUCAAUGGGCGAGAGCCUGAACCAGCCAAGUAGCGUGCAGGAUGACGGCCCUAUGGGUUGUAAACUGCUUUUGUAUGGGGAUAAAGUCAAUCACGUGUGAUUGUUUGCAGGUACCAUACGAAUAAGGACCGGCUAAUUCCGUGCCAGCAGCCGCGGUAAUACGGAAGGUCCGGGCGUUAUCCGGAUUUAUUGGGUUUAAAGGGAGCGUAGGCUGGAGAUUAAGUGUGUUGUGAAAUGUAGACGCUCAACGUCUGACUUGCAGCGCAUACUGGUUUCCUUGAGUACGCACAACGUUGGCGGAAUUCGUCGUGUAGCGGUGAAAUGCUUAGAUAUGACGAAGAACUCCGAUUGCGAAGGCAGCUGACGGGAGCGCAACUGACGCUGAAGCUCGAAGGUGCGGGUAUCGAACAGG
rnacentral:rRNA from 1 species